rnacentral:rRNA from 1 species
UGGGGAAUCUUGCGCAAUGGGGGAAACCCUGACGCAGCGACGCCGCGUGCGGGAUGAAGGCCUUCGGGUUGUAAACCGCUUUCAGCAGGGACGAGGCCUUAUGGUGACGGUACCUGCAGAAGAAGCACCGGCUAACUACGUGCCAGCAGCCGCGGUAAUACGUAGGGUGCGAGCGUUGUCCGGAAUUACUGGGCGUAAAGAGCUAGUAGGCGGUUUGUCACGUCGUCUGUGAAAUCCUAGGGCUUAACCCUGGACGUGCAGGCGAUACGGGCUGACUUGAGUACUACAGGGGAGACUGGAAUUUCUGGUGUAGCGGUGGAAUGCACAGAUAUCAGGAAGAACACCGAUGGCGAAGGCAGGUCUCUGGGUAGUAACUGACGCUGAGGAGCGAAAGCAUGGGUAGCGAACAGG